rnacentral:rRNA from 1 species
UACGUAGGGUGCGGAGCGAUUGAAUCGAAUCUGGGCGUAAAGCGUGCGCAGGCGGCGCGUUAAGACAGGUGUGAAAGCCCCGAGCUUAACUUGGGAAUUGCGCUUGUGACUGGCGUGCUGGAGUGUGGCAGAGGGAGGUGGAAUUCCACGUGUAGCAGUGAAAUGCGUAGAGAUGUGGAGGAACACCGAUGGCGAAGGCAGCCUCCUGGGCCAGCACUGACGCUCAUGCACGAAAGCGUGGGGAGCAAACAGG